CAAUAGCGUAUAUUUAAGUUGUUGCAGUUAAAAAGCUCGUAGUUGGAUUUCGGUUAAGAGCGACCGGUCCGCCGUUUGGUGUGCACUGGUUGGUUUUAACUUCCUGUAGAGGACGUGCUCUGGGUUUAGCGACCUGGACUCGGAGUCUACGUGGUUACUUUGAAAAAAUUAGAGUGUUCAAAGCGGGCUUACGCUUGAAUAUUUCAGCAUGGAAUAACACUAUAGGACUCCUGUCCUAUUUCGUUGGUCUCGGGACGGGAGUAAUGAUUAAGAGGAACAGUUGGGGGCAUUCGUAUUUCAUUGUCAGAGGUGAAAUUCUUGGAUUUAUGAAAGACGAACUUCUGCGAAAGCAUUUGCCAAGGAUGUUUUCAUUAA
rnacentral:rRNA from 1 species